rnacentral:lncRNA from 1 species
UUCAGUGACUGUCACCAGCCUUCUGCAACAGCUAAUGAACCUACCUCAAAGUGCAACUGCACCAGCACCCUCUAACUCUCACCUCACUGCUGUGCUCCAGAACAAGUUUGGCUUGUCACUGCUCCUAAUCCUCUUAAGCCGUGGGGAAGACCUACAUAGUUCAGAUCCUACUGUAGAAUCAACGCAAAAUAACCAGUGGACAGAGGUGAUGUUCAUGGCAACCCAAGAACUUCUACGGAUCCCCCAAGCAGCCCUGGCCAAGCCAAUCUCUAUACCCACAAAUCUAGUGUCUCUCUUUUCUCGCUAUGUUGACCGGCAGAAACUGAACUUGCUGGAGACAAAACUGCAGUAAGUUGUGAACAUUUCACUCCCUUGGUAUCUCAGGCAUCACACCAUAGGAGGAUGAAGCUGAAUGAGAGAAAAAGAUUGAGACAUUAAGUGUGUGUGCGAAAACAAAUCACUGUAUUGUGUCCAACAGUACCUCAGAAAACGGCAAAAGCUGAGAGGCAACUAGGGUCUUGUAUUAUGAGAAUUCUUAUAAAGAUAUAACUUGAACACAAAAGAUUCAUCCUUUUUUAACUUAUUCAUACAAACAAGUCACCUUUCUCUUCAUAUUCUUAGGCUGGUUCAGGGGAUGCGAUAAAAGACCUCCAGAGUGUCCUGUAUCUCCUUCUGGCUGCCACCUGCACUGCUGACAUCACCAAUGGAGUGGUUCUAAUGAGAGAGGGGAGGUAGCUUAGGACCCAAAGCAAAGUCUUGUGGGAUCCUUGCCUGUUUUCAGAAGUUAGCUCUGAAUGCCAGAUAUUCCCUACUGCUCUGGUACUUCCGCUGGGUGGUACUUCUGCUGGUUUCUUUUACCUUCUGUGUUACACUUUUGCAUGUCCUACUUUUACUCAAUUCUUCUCAGUUUUGCAUUUUCUUUGCCCUAGAGACACAAAUAUAAUAUCCUUUAUCCCAUCACCACUAUUACAAUUCAAAGUAGGUUGUAGUCUACCAAAGGGCUCCUCCUCCCUUUGAGUUCUUCAUCUUCCCUUAAUAAUAUGACUAUAAGAGAGCCAAAAUUAAGUAGAAUUCAGGAUAUAAGUAAAUAUAUACACACCCAUACACAAACAUUCAUAUGGUCUCCAGAGGGUCCUUAAAGAAUGAGCUUUAGUUUGAAAAGUAUUUAGUUAACAUAUACCUCUAAAAAUAAACCAGCUGAUAUAUUUUUACUCUGUUUCUGUUCCAUCUUGUCAUUUGGUGGAUUCUACUUUUCUAAUAUAUAAAUACAGGGUACACAGCACAUUACAUUAAAUCAAACUUGUUAAUUGGCUGAUGCCCAGCUCUAGGCUGAGAGAACUUUUCUUUCUCCCUUCCUGUAUUUCCUUUGUUCUUCAAGACCAUAAUAGAAACAGCACACACACGGUUAAGCCUUUUCCUGUGAUGACUACAGUGCUUGAGUCUGUGCCCUCAAGUCCAUUCAGGAGUACCCAAGAUGAGCCUCACCCAGAGCCUGCUUUCUGCAGUGCAGCUUCUAUGCACCUGCACUGUCUUCCUGACGUGACUUCUGUAAGCCAUGCUUCUGCUUCUCUUCCCCAUUUUCAUUUACUGUCUUGGGUAGAAACCUCCAAAUGUAAUCAUGGCUGCUAAGCUUGGGCUCUGCUCUUCAGUCUGCUCUACCCUGCAGCAGAACUGCUGUCCUGGCUGCUUAGUCUCACCUGAGCCCCAUCCACUGGCAGCCAGUGGGGCCUGGGUUUGAAUCUUAGGGACACUUCCCUUUCACUCACCUUUCUUCUCCUCAGCAGUCAGCCAGGAUAAGGGACUCUGCUCCCUUGGGGUUGCAGUUCUGAAAACUAAAUUGAAUUUAUUUUAUAUUCCCGUCCUGAUCCUACUUUCUGCUGUUCUCACCUUUUUGAAUGUAGUCGGGGGACAGGCUAUGAUAUUUAAAGAGAAUAAAUGUUUUGCACAUACCUGUAUAACAGUGAAGCCCUCCGUUGCAACCAGCUAUCUUUGUACUCAUCUCCAUUUCUUCUCAUUUUGUGGCCUCAGGCUCUACCAGCUGCUCCCCAGUGACAGUCCCUAGCUUCCUUCUACCAUCUGCUGACUGUCUCCACUGAGCCUUUCCUACCUUCCCUUCACACCCAAUCAAGUAAACACUUGAUUAUUUUUUCUUCUUUAUUGUGCUUUUUGUUCAGUUCUAAUUAAUAAAAAUAAAAGUUUCUAAAUUUACAUUUUUAUAGGGUAUUGUAAAUAAAACAAAUUGUAUACUUGAAAA